CUGUGGACAGUACCGAUUUAUCAGUGUUUUGAAAGAAAGAGGUGGGGGAUCUGCACAUAAAGGAGCGUCUUCCAUUUCGCAGUGCUUGCUCUAAGAAGCUUGGCUUUGGGCUCUACCAAGGAGCCAGAAGGACAGACUGACGUCCCCACAGCCCCGGCCCCCUGGGCAUGCCCUGCUCUGCCUCUCCUGUUCUGGCUGCAGCUGACUUGGAUCUGGAGCAGUUUCAAUUUCUGUCCUAUACGGUGCUAAAAUCAAUUUCAGUGCAAAGCGACUAAUUAAGAGCAAUAAUUAUGCAGAUGGCUUCAGAGCAGGGCCCUCCCCUGCCUUGCUGCAAUUUUUCAACAUUUAAAGUCGAAAAAGCUUGUAUGAUCCUUGCACCCAUGUACAGCUUGAAAGUACAAAACGGGGUGCUUUAAAAGACCGUGGUGAUAAAUUGCUCCCAUAAAUGAUGAGAAAUGUUUAAAUCAAUAAAACGUUUGUUUAGAUGUCCAUAUGGAGGAAAGAUACAGUCUGUUGCUCUUCAUAUUGGAUUGAUCCCACUGUGUUAAAUUACAGCUGGCUACAGCCCUGCGUCGUUUACUGCACAGCUUGACAAGCAUGUCAAAUAUUCACACUGAGCACAAAAAUUUUGAGUGUCUGAUCUCUGCAUUGUCCUUGUCACUUCCUCCCAGCCAGGGCCAAAUUAAAGGCUGCUUAAUACGGGGGGAAGCUUGCCACAGCUCUCCCACAAGCCUUUAGCCACAUUACCCGAUAUCCUCUCGGAUGGCCCGGGGGAGCGAGCAGCUGGGGAGCAGAUGUAGGCGGUCUUCUGCACGUGACCGCGCGCCUGCCUAUAGCGCUAGCCACUUUGGGGAUUUAUCAGCUGCUGUGGGCUGGUGGUCAUAAAUACAUAAAUACAGCAGGAACGUGGGCAGGGUCUUAAAGGAGUCGCUGCUGUUGGAAGGCGCCCGCUCUGUGCUCCUGGGAGGGUGGUAGCAGUGGUGGUGGGUGGCAGGGGGAGCAGCAAGGGCACCCAAGUGGGAGAAGGGAGCUCUGGGUGAUGCUCCCAGCCUUCUGCUGCUUUUUCUAGGUGACCCGUGCCUUUCCUCACAAUGCAGAGCAGCGUGGGAUAUAACCAGGGAUCCCAUGGAGAGGUCAGGGAAGAGGCUGAGACAGUUAAUGGGGUUCCUGUGUUGUCAGUGCUGCAAAGUCUCGGGCUGCUCAGUCCCAGUGGGUUCACUUCAGUGGGUUCACUUCAGGUCUGUUUGUACAUACCUGGCGAUGAAGCAAGAUGUGAAGUGCCUUUGAUGUUUUAAAUGGCUUGGAUCUGUGAAAGUGAAGCUGAACUCGGCUUUGACUUUAAUGAAACAAACAGAGAGAUGACUACAAAUGCCAAUUGCUACUUUUAAAAAAGGUACCAGUGUGGAAAAAUAAGCAGGGCACCGGCAGUAAUGUCAACAGUUCUUUUAAAAAUAACUUAAUUUCUUUAAAUAACUUUAAACGUAUUUCAGAAUAGCUUAAAAUGUUAUUUUAAGAGACAGAGGGCCUUUUUCAUUAGAUGAUGAAAGAGGGUGUUAAUUUUUCAGAAAUCUGGCAUUUUGUCAACAUCUGCCUUUGAAAUUUAUGAGGACAAACUU